GAGAAAAGGCCACCGCCGCCGCUUCCUUCCCCCAUGCCGGCGGCCUCUAUCCUUCCCCGAUGCCGGCCGCCUCCCUCCACCACGCAUCGCCGUCCUCCUUCCCUGACACCGACCGGCUCCCUCCACCAUGCGCCGCCGUCCUCUCCUUCCCUGCCGCCGGCCGCCACCCUCCUCCUUCCUCAGCGCCGGCUGCCUCCCUCCACUACGCAUCGCUCCUCCUUCCCCGGCGCCGGCCGCCUCCCUCCCCCAUCGCGCAGCCAACCCGGGAACCCGGACCCCCACCGUGCCGGUGACCCGGCCACCCAGUCACCCACCAUGCUGCCGCCCCGGCCACACGACCCCCAUCGCGCCGCCACCCCAGCCACCCGGCCCCCAUCGCGCUGCCUCCCUGGCCACCCGACCCCUCAUCGCGCUGCUGCCCCGGCAACCGGAUCCUUACUACGCCUCGUUACCCCCGCCACCCGGCCCAGCGUCGCUCCAUGUUAUCUCCUUCGUGAUCCUGGAUGUUCUGCUACAGUCCUACUGUGACAUCCGCCAUGGGCCACUACUACAUCAAAUAUCCGAGUCGAAGGAGCUCCCUUCAGUUCAAUGGAUUCAACAAAAUAAUCCAUGAUGCCUACUAGAACUUGCAUGUGUGUUGUGGCGUGUGUGCUGGUGCAUGCCUGGUGGCUGAUGCGGCGUGCGAGCAUGUACAUAAAUUGAGCUGAAUUAUCUCCAGUAAGUGAACUCAAUGAUCUCCUGUAUCAGAACUACCGGGGAGAUGCAUCAUGUACAAAAAAAGGACGUUUGAAGAUUAUCAUGGAGCAAGUUCAAGAGAUUAGUUUCAUGAAAAUAAAUGUGAUCUUUUGGGAUUUCGCAUGAUCCAUAGCCAUCGGUGGCAACAGGCGAGCAGUUCGAGGCCUCCUGCAUGAGUCGCCCAUUGUCUUCUAUGCGUGCUUGUUGUCUCUACACAUCUAGCAUCAGAGUAUCUCCUCCCCUUGCCGCACACACAUGACGGGCGGUUGAGCUACUGUUGUUUGUGAUUACUGGUCAUGACUCUUAUGUUGUCAUUGGACAAAGAAUUUUUUCUGUACUCUGUAUUUGCAGGACAUUUAGCAAAAUAUUGUUGUGUUCU